rnacentral:rRNA from 1 species
UGGGGAAUUUUGGACAAUGGGCGAAAGCCUGAUCCAGCAAUGCCGCGUGUGUGAAGAAGGCCUUCGGGUUGUAAAGCACUUUUGUCCGGAAAGAAAUCCUUGGCUCUAAUACAGUCGGGGGAUGACGGUACCGGAAGAAUAAGCACCGGCUAACUACGUGCCAGCAGCCGCGGUAAUACGUAGGGUGCAAGCGUUAAUCGGAAUUACUGGGCGUAAAGCGUGCGCAGGCGGUUUGCUAAGACCGAUGUGAAAUCCCCGGGCUCAACCUGGGAACUGCAUUGGUGACUGGCAGGCUAGAGUAUGGCAGAGGGGGGUAGAAUUCCACGUGUAGCAGUGAAAAUGCGUAGAGAUGUGGAGGAAUACCGAUGGCGAAGGCAGCCCCCUGGGCCAAUACUGACGCUCAUGCACGAAAGCGUGGGGAGCAAACAGGAUUAGAUACCCUGGUAGUCCACGCCCUAAAACGAUGUCAACUAGUUGUUGGGGAUUCAUUUCCUUAGUAACGUAGCUAACGCGUGAAGUUGACCGCCUGGGGAGUACGGUCGCAAGAUU